rnacentral:rRNA from 1 species
GAUGAACGCUGGCGGCGUGCCUAAUACAUGCAAGUCGAGCGAACGGACGAGAAGCUUGCUUCUCUGAUGUUAGCGGCGGACGGGUGAGUAACACGUGGAUAACCUACCUAUAAGACUGGGAUAACUUCGGGAAACCGGAGCUAAUACCGGAUAAUAUUUUGAACCGCAUGGUUCAAAAGUGAAAGACGGUCUUGCUGUCACUUAUAGAUGGAUCCGCGCUGCAUUAGCUAGUUGGUAAGGUAACGGCUUACCAAGGCAACGAUGCAUAGCCGACCUGAGAGGGUGAUCGGCGACACUGGAACUGAGACACGGUCCAUACUCCUACGGGAGGCAGCAGUAGGGAAUCUUCCGCAAUGGGCGAAAGCCUGACGGAGCAACGCCGCGUGAGUGAUGAAGGUCUUCGGAUCGUAAAACUCUGUUAUUAGGGAAGAACAUAUGUGUAAGUAACUGUGCACAUCUUGACGGUACCUAAUCAGAAAGCCACGGCUAACUACGUG